rnacentral:rRNA from 1 species
GACGAACCACACAAACGUUAUUCGGAAUUACUGGGCUUAAAGGGUGCGUAGGCUGCGCGGAAAGUUGGGUGUGAAAUCCCUCGGCUUAACCGAGGAACUGCGCCCAAAACUACCGUGCUCGAGGAAGAUAGAGGUGAGCGGAACUUACGGUGGAGCGGUGAAAUGCGUUGAUAUCGUAAGGAACACCCGUGGCGAAAGCGGCUCACUGGGUCUUUUCUGACGCUGAUGCACGAAAGCUAGGGGAGCAAACGGG